rnacentral:lncRNA from 1 species
CUUUUGUUGAUCAAACAUAAAAGUGCAUCCAUUGCAUACUUCAGCGCCCCCAAGGUCUUCUAUCAACAACUAUAAAAACCAUGUCCAACUAUCUUUGUUCUCUACUUCCACAAUUGCGUAUGCCAGAGGUAACAUCUGGUCAUUAGGAUCUCUCCCAAUAGCUGUUAAUAACUCCCCCUUAUACAAUCCUUUCAGAAAUCAUCCAUCCAAACCAAUAAAUGGCCUAGAAGACAC